UGGGGAAUCUUGGACAAUGGGGGCAACCCUGAUCCAGCCAUGCCGCGUGAGCGAUGAAGGCCUUAGGGUUGUAAAGCUCUUUCAGCGGGGAAGAUAAUGACGGUACCCGCAGAAGAAGCCCCGGCUAACUCCGUGCCAGCAGCCGCGGUAAUACGGAGGGGGCUAGCGUUGUUCGGAAUUACUGGGCGUAAAGCGCACGUAGGCGGGCAUUUAAGUCGGGGGUGAAAUCCCGGGGCUCAACCCCGGAACUGCCUUCGAUACUGGGUGCCUGGAGGAUGGGAGAGGCGAGUGGAAUUCCGAGUGUAGAGGUGAAAUUCGUAGAUAUUCGGAGGAACACCAGUGGCGAAGGCGGCUCGCUGGCCCAUUUCUGACGCUGAGGUGCGAAAGCGUGGGGAGCAAACAGG
rnacentral:rRNA from 1 species